GCGAUUGUAGUUCAGUGGCAGAACGUGCGACUGUGGCUCGCAUAACGGGAGUUCGAUUCUCCCCAUUCGCCCC
rnacentral:tRNA from 1 species